UUCCCCCCCCCCCCCCUUCCAUCCCAAGUUGAUGCUUUUCUAGAAACUACAAAGAAAAAAAUCACACUUGGCUUAUUCAAUAUUUUCCCUGCUUCAAUGUUGUAGAUAAUGUAGCUCUGAGAUAAAAACAGCUGUAGAGAAGCUGACUUGGAUUGCUGAACAAAGUUCAAUGUUGUCUGUCAACUCUUAUAUUUACACAUGUACAUAGUCUGAAUUAUAAUAUAUUACAGUGUUAUUGUGACAUAAUGGUUGUCAGGACUUUGAGUUGUUGUCUUUAUUCAAAUCGUCAAUGAUUACUUGUGCAUUUUUUAAAAAAUUCAUUUGAAUACUUAUUUCUCUGUUGAGUCAGUUUGGAAGUGACUAGAAAAUAAAAAGGGUUCAUCUGAAUGUGGUUCUCAUGUGUUGUGAGGGACCUUAAAUAUUAGACAUUUUUUUUUUAACAUAAAUCUCAUCUAUUUUUUUUUUUUUUAAGAAUUUCCAAGGUAUUUUAGCUUGUUCCAUGAAAACACCAGGGAUCCAGUCGUUUGUGUCAAUCCACUUGUUAUUAUGUUACAAAACCUUAUCAUUAUGUUAAAUGCUGGACAUUGCAGAUAUUUAGUGAAUUUUUUUAUAUACAUGCAGCUUACAGUAACUGAGUUUGCUUAUUAUUGGUAACUUAAAAAAAAACAACUUAGUAACAAUUGUUACAGCUCAAGAAUUUAAUUUAAAGAAUUUGCUCUUUGUUUGUAAAAGAGCGGCAUUCUCUUGUCUCAUGCUUGAACUAUGUAUGUUGUCUUUUUUUUUUUUUUAUUUAAAUCAUCUUUCACAUCUCCCCAUAUAUCAUAUUAUUAUUAUAUGCAUUAAAUAUCAUUUUAAAAUUUUUAACUAGCAUGAGUGUCUGUUUCCAUCCAAAAACCCAAGCCUCAUUUUCAUGUUUUUCUUCUCUACCAAUCAUGACUGUCAGGUUCCAAUGAAAUGAAACAUGUUUUACAUAUUGAAAAC